GUGUGGAGUUUUGAGGGUAGAGUAUAAAAAAAUAAAUAUUUAAAAUUUUAAAAUAAAAAGAGCUAUUUUGAUCAUUUUUUAGACAUUAUUUUGGUGACAAAAAUUUAAAAUGACUAUUUAAGAGAAUUGCCCAUAUGAAAAUAUAUUGAUUUCAAAAUUUGUAUUGAAAAAUUAUUGAGAUCUUAAUAUUAGAUGAUAACUUGUGGAGAGUCAAUAAUAAACAAAUCGAGAGCAGAAAUCAUAAUCUUAUUUUAUCAUUUUACAAUCGAUGUUUCCCAUCUUGUUUUGAUGAUUUGUGUCAGCCACAAAACUUAAU
rnacentral:lncRNA from 1 species